rnacentral:rRNA from 1 species
AACGAACGCUGGCGGCAGGCUUAACACAUGCAAGUCGAACGCACCUUUCGGGGUGAGUGGCAGACGGGUGAGUAACGCGUGGGAAUCUACCCUUCUCUACGGGAUAGCUCCGGGAAACUGGAAUUAAUACCGUAUACGUCCUGAGGGAGAAAGAUUUAUCGGGGAAGGAUGAGCCCGCGUUGGAUUAGCUAGUUGGUGGGGUAAAGGCCUACCAAGGCGACGAUCCAUAGCUGGUCUAAGAGGAUGAUCAGCCACAUUGGGACUGAGACACGGCCCAAACUCCUACGGUAGGCAGCAGUGGGGAAUAUUGGACAAUGGGCGCAAGCCUGAUCCAGCCAUGCCGCGUGAGUGAUGAAGGCCCUAGGGUUGUAAAGCUCUUUCAGUGGGGACGAUAAUGACGGUACCCACAGAAGAAGCCCCGGCUAACUUCGUGCCAGCAGCCGCUGUAAGAC